CAGCAGCCGCGGUAAUACAGAGGGUGCGAGCGUUAAUCGGAUUUACUGGGCGUAAAGCGUGCGUAGGCGGCUUUUUAAGUCGGAUGUGAAAUCCCUGAGCUUAACUUAGGAAUUGCAUUCGAUACUGGGAAGCUAGAGUAUGGGAGAGGAUGGUAGAAUUCCAGGUGUAGCGGUGAAAUGCGUAGAGAUCUGGAGGAAUACCGAUGGCGAAGGCAGCCAUCUGGCCUAAUACUGACGCUGAGGUACGAAAGCAUGGGGAGCAAACAGGAUUAGAUACCCGUUAGUCCCUGUCUCUUAUACA
rnacentral:rRNA from 1 species